rnacentral:rRNA from 1 species
AACGAACGCUGGCGGCAUGCCUAACACAUGCAAGUCGAACGAGACCUUCGGGUCUAGUGGCGCACGGGUGCGUAACGCGUGGGAACCUGCCUUUAGGUUCGGAAUAACUCAGAGAAAUUUGAGCUAAUACCGGAUGAUGUCUUCGGACCAAAGAUUUAUCGCCUUUAGAUGGGCCCGCGUUGGAUUAGCUAGUUGGUGGGGUAAAGGCCUACCAAGGCGACGAUCCAUAGCUGGUCUGAGAGGAAGAUCAGCCACACUGGGACUGAGACACGGCCCAGACUCCUACGGGAGGCAGCAGUGGGGAAUAUUGGACAAUGGGCGAAAGCAUGAUCCAGCAAGGCCGGGUGAGUGAUGAAGGCCUUAGGGUUGUAAAGCUCUUUUAACCGAGAUGAUAAUGACAGUAUCGGGAGAAUAAGCUCCGGCUAACUCCGUG